rnacentral:rRNA from 1 species
GAUGAACGCUGGCGGCGUGCCUAAUACAUGCAAGUCGAGCGAACGGACGAGAAGCUUUCUUCUCUGAUGUUAGCGUCGGACGGGGGAGUAACACGUGGAUAACCUACCUAUAAGACUGGGCUAACUUCGGGAAACCGGAGCUAAUACCGGAUGAUAUUUUGAACAGCAUGGUUCAAAAGUGAAAGACGGUCUUGCUGUCACUUAUAGAUGGGUCCGCACUGCAUUAGCUAGUUGGUAAGGUAACGGCUUACCAAGGCAACGAUGCAUAGCCGACCUGAGAGGACGAUCGGCAACACUGGAACGGAGACACGGUCCAGACUCCUAAGGGAGGCAGCAGUAGGGAAUCUUCCGCAAUGGGCGAAAGCCUGACGGAGCAACGCCGCGUGAGUGAUGAAGGUCUUCGGAUCGUAAAACUCUGUUAUUAGGGAAGAACAUAUGUGUAAGUAACUGUGCACAUCUUGACGGUACCUAAUCAGAAAGCCACGGCUAACUACGUG